CUUCUGUCCCUCCCCUACGGCGUUCCGGGAGGGCGGGGCCAGCGCCGCGAGCUGCGGUCGUGUGGUCUCGGUUCUGGCUGCGUGUGGUCCAGGGUAUAAGGAAAGACCCUGGCUGUCUGCGGUGUGGACCCCUCACACAUUGAGCGCUGACUUUGCCAGGCGUUACAUAGAAGGAGACCAUAGCUCCGUGUGUUACUGUGACUCACAGUGAUUCAGGAUCGAGAUGUCUUCUAUCUUAGGAUUCUUCUACUUUCAACAUUUUCCAAGGAUCCAAAUUCAUCUGCAUCAGAUGGAAGGGGAAAGAGUAUGAAGGAGAAUGGGAAAUGUUCAUGGGCCAGGUCUAGAUGGGGUCCCCAAGUUGUGCCCACAUUUCAUUGUCUGGAGCUCACUCAAUAUGUGCUCAUACUUCACUGCAAAGGAGGCUUACAGAUUGCUGAAUUACCUGGAAGAAGAGGAAAUGAUUUGUACCGGGAAUCAAACUCAGGACCUUGUGUUUGUGAGGCAGUUGCAGCACCACUGAGCUAAAUCCCCAGCCCCUAUUAUGUUUCUAUUUAAUAAUUUUUCUUUUAAGAAUCAGGUUUAUUGCAUCAGCAUCCACAAACUCAAGUUAACUACAUACAGAUCAAUGUUCUGUCUCCCACCACUUCAUCUGGAUGCCUGAAAAAUAAUCCCUCCCUGCCCCCCUCCACCCCACCCAUGCUGGGAUUGAACCCAGAACUUCAAGCAUGCUCAGCAAGUGCUCUGUUACUGAGCUACACCUUCAGCUUGAAAAACAAUUCUUAUGUCUUUGGAAAUGAUUUUCUUACUUGCAAACUGCCU
ensembl:lncRNA